rnacentral:rRNA from 1 species
GACGUAGGGUGCGAGCGUUGUCCGGAUUUAUUGGGCGUAAAGAGCUCGUAGGCGGCUUGUCGCGUCGACUGUGAAAGCCCGCGGCUCAACCGCGGGUCUGCAGUCGAUACGGGCAGGCUAGAGUUCGGUAGGGGAGACUGGAAUUCCUGGUGUAGCGGUGAAAUGCGCAGAUAUCAGGAGGAACACCGAUGGCGAAGGCAGGUCUCUGGGCCGAUACUGACGCUGAGGAGCGAAAGCGUGGGGAGCGAACAGG